GGCUUUAUGAAUAUAAUAUAAAGUCUGGCCUGCCCACUGAAGUUUUUAAAGGGCCGCGGUAUUUUGACCGUGCGAAGGUAGCAUAAUCAAUAGUCUUUUAAUUGAAGGCUUGAAUGAAUGGUCGGACAAGAUACAAGCUGUCUUAAAUUUAAAUUUUGAAUUUUACUUUUAAGUGAAAAGGCUUAAAUAAUUUAAAGUGACGAUAAGACCCUAUAAAGCUUUAUAUUAGUAAAUUUAAUUUUAUAUUUAAGGUUUAAAUUUAAUUUUAUUUAUAAUAUUGUAUUGGGGCGAUAUAAAUUUAAUAUUUAACAGUUGUUAAUUGUAAAUAGAUAAUAUCUAGAAAAGGAGAUCCUUUAUAAAGAUUUUAAGAAAAAGUUACUUUAGGGAUAACAGCGUGAUUUUUUCAGAGAGUUCAUAUCGAUGAAAGUAGUUGCGACCUCGAUGUUGAAUUAAGAUUUCUUUAGGGUGUAGUCUUUCUAAAUGUAGGUCUGUUCGACCUUUAAAAUCUUACAUGAUUUGAGUUCAAACCGGCGUGAG
rnacentral:rRNA from 1 species